CAAAAUUGCAAAUGUAAAAAUUAAUAUUAUUAUUCGCUUCCUUUCAUUGUUCAAUUUAAAAAAUUUAAAGUGAUCCUAACUUGACCUUACGGGCGCUACCUAAGAUCAAACUAAUAAGGUCAGUAAAUAAAUCUUUUUAAACCCUACAACUUUUGUCUAAAACAGUUUUUUCUAAAAUGCAUUGUUUACGAGAAAUUCGACUGUACCCCCAGACUUUUGGCUUACUCUGUGUAUGUAUUGUGUAUCGUCUUGCCUUUGAAAACAGAGUUAUCUCACGCAUAUAUCGUCAAGCGUGGCGCGAUCUCGUCGAUCUUAUUAAUCGUAAGUAGAACAAUUAGCGAACAAAGAAAGAGAGGGAACGAGAGUAAUUAGCCGAACUGGGGUACUCUAAAUAGAUCGUAGCGAAUUUUUUACACCCCCGUGUCGGUAACGCGAUGAUACUCGUCUACUCUUUGUCAUUCCCCCUCCCUCCUUCUCACCGUAUAUGGGAAGUGUACGGACACGAGAGCUAAGAAUAUUCUCGCUAAAUGUGAUAGUAGAGUGAGUCUAUCUUCCGGCAGACGUAGAAGCAAUAAAAAGCGAGCCGAAGGCAGCGAGCCGAGGAUUAAAGCGACUGCUUUACCCGUACGCUCAUCCUUCACCAACUCGUUUCUUCACCCCCGAAGAAAAAAAAAGAAGGAUCCCUUAUUCGCCGAAAAGAUGCGUUCGAAGAAUCGAGGAGGCGACUAUUACUUCCUCACAAUCACUACCCCCUCGUAUGAUUUUUCGGUGGUGUACCCGGAAAAAUAAACGAAAGUAUAUAUACACCACCCGUUUGACCCGUUCCUUUUCGGAACCCCGUGCUCAACGACGCUUUCUAACUGCUUUCUUCGUGCGUUCACCCUCAGUCCCCCGCCUUCCGAAACCCAUUCCUCGAUGUUGUAACGAUCGAUUCGAUAUAUCCCGAGUGCCUUAAUCCGAACUCUAUCCCCAUCUUGCUCUCCACGUGUAACGAAAGAAAAGAUACGGCAGGAAAAGCCCUGGGACGCCCGCGAUUUAGACGCAUAUUAAUUUCUAUAGGCAGUAGAAUUGAGUGUCGAUUGCUAGAGAGAACGCGAGAACAAGGCUGGCGCACCGAGAGGACUGUUGCGAGGGACGGUGCACAUGGCGGAACCAGGAGGCUGCGAGACCGACGAAGACGUAUUGUCGCAACACGACAAUAAAGCGAGAAAAAAAAAAGAGAGCACCGGAAACGAUCGUGCAUCGUACAACACGACAGCGUGCACCAGGACUGCUCUUUUACUUUUCGAGUGACUUUUUCGAAAUGGGACCCACGCGUUUUUCAUAGCGCUUUUUUAAAGCCGGACACGCGCGUCGUGGCGGCGUCUUGUUCUUCCAAUACGUAUAUAUUAUAUACACACAUAUACAGGUACACACAAACAUUGACACAUAUACAUUACGUAGACACGCAAUUAUAUUUAUAAAAACAAAUAUAUAUAUAUAUAUAUAUAUAUAAAUUAUUGAUAUAUAUUACAAAAAAUCAAUCUAUAUACAUAUAUCUACUUUUAUGCGUAUAUAACGGUUGUACGAUUAAUAAAGGCGAAAAAGCCGAGCGUGCGCUAGAACAUACAUAUAGAUUUGACGAAGGGACGUUCAGUUUCUCGAUUUUUUCAUACAGAAGAAGAAAUUGUCACGGAAUUGUUUUGUUACGCGACGCUUUGCCAACGAGCCGACAUUGUGCCGCUUUGUUCGUUUCAUACAAUUAUCUCGGUGACAGCAAAUAACUCCAUGUAUUAAUGAAUUAAUAAGAGGAAUCCAAAGAUAUUUCAGAAUUUGCAGAAGCGUGCAUAUUUUAUUCGGCGUUUUUUCUUUAUUGUUGGUGUUCUUUAAGAAACACUAUAUAUUGUUGUGUAUAUUUGAAUAUCCUUUUCACAAGACGAUUAUUCAUUUCCUGAGAUAAGUGAAUCUUUUUCUUUUAAACGAUCCAUCAAUCGAUUUAAAUUAGCAAUUUGCUGAUAUUAUGCAAGACGUAUCUUAAUAAUAUAAAUGAAGAUAAUUAUCUAUUAAAGGCGUGAACUUGUGUGACAAUUAAUACAUUGACGGUCGCAAGUAUCCAUGAAUAUUUAUAUAAUUGAAUAUUUACAAUUUUCGCAUAUCGAUACAUAUUGGAAAACGGGCGCAGAUUUUAGAGUAAAAUAGAUUUUAAUUAACGAGAUAAAAUAGUGGUCAUGCAUGUCACUUAUAAUUGACGAAACGUCGUGCGCAGUGAGAGUUAAUAAUUUUUGCAACACGCGAUAAUUUUCAUUAUAACCGCGGCUUUUGGAUUACUUGUUCAUCUGCUCAAUCUGAGCUAAAAAACAAUGCGAUAUAUUUUACAAGAGCAUCCAGUUAGUUUUCUCAACACGAUAAAUAUUCGCUUGAAACUGUAUCUUUAGCUCCAAGGAUGAUUCAUAGUUUUGAAAGUGAGAAUAAACGAUAAAUUCCAAAGAAUAAUUGUCUCGCGGUAACUCGCGUGUAAUUAAUUACUUUGUCUUGCUAUCUUGUUGCAUUUUGUGAAAGCUUUCAUAAAGUCAAUAAUAAUGAAAUCGCGCGGAAGAGUUUCUUGCUCUCUAUGCAACAUUAUACGAUGAUAUAACAUUAUAAUAAAUAAUGUCUUUUGAUUUUAGUAAUACAUUUUUUCACAAGAUCUUUUAUUAAUGAGUAUGAUGUGUCGAUGAUAUCGAUACACAUAAAUAAUUACAGGUUUAAGAAAUAUUUAUUGAAACUUGCGCCCGUGUCUGAGAUAUCAACGCAGUUUAAUUCUGAGCAAUUCUGACUAUAUUUUUAUUGCAAACUAAUUUUCACAUAAAAAUUAACACAGUCACCUCGACGUUUCUAUUUGCAUAAAGUAGAUUUUUUUACAUCGAAAUUUCUCAUGCAACUUCUUUAUACCUUGUAGUAUCGCAGAUUCCACAUUGUGGAGUUACAUAUGAAAUAUUUUGUUAUAUUUUAUAACAAUGUUGAGACGUUUAGAUUGAACGGCGUAUCAGUGCGACUCGUUGCACGACAAUAUUCGGAAAUCAAAAAAAUGGAGUCUUCCAAAAAAAAAAACAAGAAUACUCGUGUAUCUUGCAACGACGAGAACGACUUUACGUUGAUUCUAUCGCCCGCCUUAUAACUCGACACACGUUGAAAUUUUCGUACGUGAUGAGCAUGAUAGAGAAGCAUUAUUCUUUUAUAUAUAGUUCACACUGUAAAUACUCUUUUCUCUAUACGAUGUAAAUAUUUUCCUCUUGAGAUAUUAAACGAUAUUUAUUGGAAAUGAGUGAAUCUCAGUGAGAGAGAGGGAGAGAAAGAGAGUGAGAGAGAGAGAGAGAGAGAGAGAGAGAGAGAGAGAGAGAGAAAGGAGAGCACUUUAGUGAGUUGAUUAAUUUCAUAAGGUAUUAUACGAAACGUGAUAAGUAGUAGUCGGCACCGAAUCUUGUGAUCGGCUUUCGACUUGCUGCUGUCCGCUACGUCAAUUUUCUUCUCUUCUAUUUAGUUCGUCAAGAUAUCGAACGACUAUAUUACGACAAACUUUAGAAAUGGUGUCCUUAAGAGACCAACAGUCAGCAAUAUAUACGCGUAUACGCGUAUUGUUACGAAAGUGGAACGAAAACAUUGAGUUGGGUCGAUUGACCUUCACAUAACGUGUCGUACUGUGACAGCGUGAUGACAGGUGACGGCCGGAGUGAGUACCGCUCUUCGAAAAUCUUCGUCAUUCGUUGCGGGAGAACGCGACGUGUGAAUGUCGAUUAUAUAUGUAUUUCCACGGGGAUCGCCCUUCUUUCGGCAGUUUCGGCGAUUUCUUUCUCUUUUCGAAGAGGGGGAAGGAGAAGAAUAUUUUGUGAGUUUUGUGUUCAUCUCUCCGACGAAAGACGGCUUUUCUCGAAGACCGGAUUUGCUUCGGCUUUUAGCGCAUACGUAGCUUACAAUUAGUAGCAAUAUAUCUCUUACGUGAUAAUUGAAAAGCUCGACCUUAUCAUAAGUAUCAUUAGCUCUAUGCGAGACAUAUAAUCUGUUAUCAAUCAACCACAGUCUCCAGCUAUCCAGUCUCUAUCUCUUUCAUAUAAUUAUGUCAUUAAUUAUUAUGAUCAUUAUUAUUAUUGUUCGACGAUCGUCGUCGCACGUAUACGAUAUCGCUUCAAUAUCAAUUCGGAAAAAUCGUUUCGCCGAAACGAAGAAACUUGGACGAAGGCGUUGAAGAGCUGCGGUAUCGGAGCAAUCGCGACGAUCGUACACGUACACCCGACGUAGUUAGUUAUUUAUUUAAUUAUUUAUUUAUUCGUUUAUGUGUGGGAGACACGAAUUUAUUCCAUAGCGUAAGUCCCUGCAAUCGUGUAGGGAGAUAAAGUUGAGAUUGAUAUAUUUCUGUAUUUUCCCGUAUUUCUUUCGGAGAGGCUUUGAUGUAGCGCCCAUUCUUUCGCUCAUUCUGUCCCACUGACAAUGAUUUCAUUAUUUUCUUUUCGCGAACUUCGCCACGUGUUUGCAACAAUGCGACCGAUGUAAAAGUAACGGAGCACGGAGUAUUGAUCCGCAUGGUACUAACUACACUCGUCUUAUUUCGAAUCCUCUUACUCGUUCGAGACGUCUCUUAAGUAAUGUAUCUUCACCAAGCCGAUAAACGCUGAUCAAACGACUAAGAAAAAUGAUAAGAUCAUUGCCAGUAGAAGAAGACCCAAAUUCUGCAACGCGUACACAUCCACACGUACACACAACUAGAAUAGAAUUAGCUAGCUAGACAGCUGACUAGUAAUGAUCUAGUAAUCACGUAAAUAAUUUGGUUAUCCGUAUAUAUAGAUGGGUAAGCGCAAAAGACGGUAAUGAGACUUAGAUUUAAGCGGCUAGUAGAAUAAUAAUAGGAGGCAAACACCGUGCAAGAGAGAAAGAGAAAGACAGAAUUGUGAGAAAGAGAAUAAUUACAACGUAUUUACUGCAGGUAAACACUGGUUAUUGUACCUGUUGUUGUUGAAAUCAUUAAAAAUACUCUUAUUCCAUGCUAA